rnacentral:tRNA from 1 species
GGGAGUAUAGCUCAGGGAUAGAGUGUGUGCUUGGCAUGCAUGAGGUCCUGGUUCAAUGCCCAGUACCUCCA